GAUGAACGCUGGCGGCGUGCCUAACACAUGCAAGUCGAGCGAAGCAUACGGACCGGAGAUUCGUCGAAGGACCGUAUGACUUAGUGGCGGACGGGUGAGUAAUGUAUGAGCAACCUGCCUUUCAGAGGGGGACAACAGUUGGAAACGACUGCUAAUACCGCGUAACGUAUCGUGAGGGCAUCCUCGUGAUACCAACGGAGCAAUCCGCUGAAAGAUGGGCUCAUAUCUGAUUAGCUUGUUGGCGGGGUAACGGCCCACCAAGGCGACGAUCAGUAGCCGGACUGAGAGGUUGAACGGCCACAUUGGGACUGAGAUACGGCCCAGACUCCUACGGGAGGCAGCAGUGGGGAAUAUUGGGCAAUGGGCGAAAGCCUGACCCAGCAACGCCGCGUGAAGGAAGAAGGUCUUCGGAUUGUAAACUUCUUUUAUGAGGGACGAAGGACGUGACGGUACCUCAUGAAUAAGCCACGGCUAACUACGUGCCAGCAGCCGCCGUAAUAC
rnacentral:rRNA from 1 species